ensembl:lncRNA
GCGCGGCCCUGUUGCGACAGGGAGGUACUGUGGUCCACAGGUCCUGUAGCGAUGCUGUGGGACCUUGAUCAACAACAACAAAUACUAAUUUGGCAAUGCCCUAAAACAAUACAAGCUGUAACGUUAGUAGGUCAAUUAAUUCACACUAGCUAGCUAGUAUAAUAAUAACAAGAUUUAUUUAGUUCACCAGUUUUCUAUAUCAUUCUGAUUCAGUAGCUACGGACUAUUUCGACCAAAUAAAUGAUGAUUUGUCUGUAAAGCUCGUGGAUCACAGAUAAUAUAACUAGGUAACUCACUGUCUGUCUGUCUGAUAAUAUAACUAGGUAACUGACUGUCUGUCUGAUAAUAUAACUAGGUAACUCACUGUCUGUCUGUCUGAUAAUAUAACUAGGUAACUGACUGUCUGUCUGAUAAUAUAACUAGGUAACUCACUGUCUGUCUGUCUGAUAAUAUAACUAGGUAACUGACUGUCUGUCUGAUAAUAUAACUAGGUAACUCACUGUCUGUCUGUCUGAUAAUAUAACUAGGUAACUCACUGUCUGUCUGUCUGAUAAUAUAACUAGGUAACUCACUGUCUGUCUGAUAAUAUAACUAGGUAACUCACUGUCUGUCUGUCUGAUAAUAUAACUAGGUAACUAACUGUCUGUCUGUCUGAUAAUAUAACUAGGUAAC